AAGGAUGUGUCGGGCGCGCGCCCGCUUGGUGGGCGGAGCCGGGAAAUGGAAUGUACCUAAUGUAACGCUUCCAUGGGCUGAACAGGUACAGACAAAGGGUCGCCAUUAAUAUUUUAUCUGCAUCAGACGGACCGGAGCGGAGGGUCUACCACAGACAACAAUAUCCUCAGCUAAUGUGCCCGGGGCAAAACUUCACACGAGCUGCUGCAGAGGGACGUCUGCACGUUCACAGUCACUGAAUCGCUCUGCUCAAAUUCUGGGUGAUGGGCCUGUCAAAGCGAGUGUCACUGUGGUCGGUGGAAGAAGUGUUGGAGUGGGUGCAGGAUCAGCACCCAACCCACAUGGGCACACUCCAUAAAGCCAUAAUUAAACACGCUAUAUCAGGCCGUGCAUUGCUGCGAUUAAAAGAUCAUCACCUGGAGCUUCUCGGGGUGGAGGCUGAGGAGCAGCAGCAGGAAAUCUUGCAGGACCUCCUCCUCCUCAGAGUUCAAGAAGAAAUCAGUGAACUCAAUGACAUCUGCUGUGAGUGUUUUUCUACAUAACAGGAAAAAAAUAUCUUCAGAAGAAAUGCAGCUUACUUUUUAAAAUUUUCCAUCCAUUCAUUCAUCCAUGUGAAGGAGGAAGAAAAGUAGGAGUGAUGGAAAUAACAAGAGAAGGUGAAGAGAAAGACGAAUCAAUGAGGAAUGAAGAGAGAAAGAAACCCAUUUCCUGUGUGAAAUCUGACCUGUGGAGAUGGAUGAGAUUAGUUUUUGUCUGAGUGUCUUUUUCUGAUCCCUAUUGUCCAUUAGUCUCUGUCUUUUGUCUUUCUCUAUAGUGGCUUUGCAUCCCGUCAGUGUAUUAUGAAAUAUUUUUAGCUACGCUAGUGGCGUGGCUUUAGGGUUGGCAAUGCCGGUUUGUCUGUCGGCCCAGCGCUUUGGUCAAGACUGAAAUAUCUCAACAGCUACUUGAUAAAUUGUAAUGAAACUUUGACAUUCACGGCCCCCAUAGGAUGAAUCGUACUGACUUUGGUGAUCCACUGUCUUUUCCUCUAGCGCCACCAUGAGGUUCACACUGCAUGGAUUGCCAUGAAAUUUGGUACUGUUAACUUUUCCUCUAGCACCAUCAUUAAGUCAAAAAUGUAAUUUGUCCAAUACUUUGCUUUAUGACCAGAUACCUGCAGAACUAAUGACAGCCUCAGCUGCACUUCAGUGCUGUUUAGUGCAUUUAGCAAAUGUUAGCAUGCUAACACACUAAAAUUAGAUAGUGAACAUGGUAAAAAUUAUACUUGCUAAACAUCAGCUUGUUAACAUUUUUAUUGUGAGCAUGUUGCCAUGCUAGUGUUAGCAUUUAGCUUAAAGCACUACUGUGGCUCAGUACAACCUCUAAGAGCCACUAAGCAUGGCUGUAGACUCUUAGAUUUGUUAAACAACAUGAUGUAUUUAAUUAGAAAAGGAGCAUACAAAUAUCCUAUGGUACAGUCCAUCAGUAUCCCUUAUAGUUUUGUUAAACACCGUUUAUUGCAUUCUUGACAGCAAAUAAUACUUUGAUAAAAUUAAAAUUUUCCCACCAAAAUAGACUUGAUUGACAAAUCUCAUAAUAUCAGUCCAAUUAAUGCAGUGUGAGUUCUGUAAUUGGAUGACACGUACCAAUUAAACUAAGUCAAAUCUAAAUCAAAAACAUCUAUUAAAUUGUGGGCAUGUGAUAAUCUAAUAUCUAUAUAUAAUCUAAUGUCUAAUAAAAUCUAAACAAGUGCUGAAAAUAAUCAGAACACAGUUGUAAAUGUAGUAGAUCAUGGUCUCAAAUGUGUACUACUGGUACUGGGUGAUACAGUAAUAUUGUAUUACACUUGUUUAACUCACAGGAAAACAGGGAAAGAGAAAAAGACAAAGAGAUGAAAUCCAAAAGUUGGAGUAGCUGGGUUUCCAUUUAAACAUUUAUUCGUGUCAGAUUAGAAAAUCCUAAUCCAAACAGUAAAACUUUCUCCUGCUGUUUGCUUUUCUCUCACACACACAUUGACUGAAAUUGAUUUUAAAAUCCAGCUGUUGAUUUGAAUCUCUUGUUUCUAUCUGAAAUGUCUGUCCUUCUAUUUUUGACUGACAAACCACAAACAAUGCAUUUUCUUCCUAAAGUAAAUACUGAACAGAGUUACAGAAAAUCCUCUCAACUUUUCUGGAUUUGAUGCCCGUUUUGUUGUUUGAUACAUACUGGCUAAUGUGAUUAAGUUGAAUCCUGUUUUAACUGGCUACAGCUGGAAGAAUUAUAGCUUGUGAAUGUCCUUCAUACAAGUGGUUCUAAAACUUUCAGACACCUUUUUAUAUAACGCCCUAUUUCCUUUAUUUAUGAUUUUGGCCUCCUUUUAAUGUGUAUUAUAGGCAUCAGUACCACUGCACAUUUGUAUUACGUAAAAAAGGUCAUGUUUAUUUCUGUACGAUUGGUUGAAUUAAAAGUUCUGUUUUGGCAACACAA